UAAAUACUCCCUCCGUCUUAAAAUUCUUGUCUUAAGUUUUAUUAGAAAUGAAUGUAUCUAAAUACUAAAACGUGACUAGAUACAUCCGUAUCUAGAUAAAUCUAAGAUAAGAAUUUUGGAACGGAAGGAGUAUAAG
rfam:Hordeum vulgare subsp. vulgare, WGS project CAJW01000000 data, contig: morex_contig_93012